AGAGUUUGAUUCUGGCUCAGGACGAACGCUGGCGGCGUGCUUAACACAUGCAAGUCGAACGAUGACGAUGGUGCUUGCACCGUCUGAUUAGUGGCGAACGGGUGAGUAACACGUGAGUAACCUGCCCUCCUCUUCGGGAUAACCGCCGGAAACGGUGGCUAAUACCGGAUAUGAAUGCCUGCCGCAUGGUGGGUGUUGGAAAGAUUUAUCGGUGGGGGAUGGACUCGCGGCCUAUCAGUUUGUUGGUGAGGUAAUGGCUCACCAAGGCGAUGACGGGUAGCCGGCCUGAGAGGGCGACCGGCCACACUGGGACUGAGACACGGCCCAGACUCCUACGGGAGGCAGCAGUGGGGAAUAUUGCACAAUGGGCGAAAGCCUGAAUGCAGCGACGCCGCGUGGGGGAUGACGGCCUUCGGGUUGUAAACCUCUUUCAGUAGGGAAGAAGCGAGAGUGACGGUACCUGCAGAAGAAGCGCCGGCUAACUACGUGCCAGCCGCCGC
rnacentral:rRNA from 1 species